AAUCAACGCUGGCGGCGUGCCUCAGACAUGCAAGUCGAACGCGAAAGGUUCCUUCGGGAACCGAGUAGAGUGGCGCACGGGUGAGUAACACGUAGGUAAUUUGCCUUUGGGUGGGGAAUAACAGCCGGAAACGGCUGCUAAUACCGCAUAAUGCAGCGGCUCGACAUCGAGACAGUUGUUAAAGCGGGGGAUCGCAAGACCUCGCGCCUAAAGAGAAGCCUGCGGCAGAUUAGCUAGUUGGUAGGGUAAUGGCCUACCAAGGCGACGAUCUGUAACCGGCCUGAGAGGGCGGUCGGUCACACUGACACUGACAUACGGGUCAGACUCCUACGGGAGGCAGCAGUCGGGAAUUUUGGGCAAUGGGCGAAAGCCUGACCCAGCAACGCCGCGUGAAGGAUGAAAUCCCUCGGGAUGUAAACUUCGCAAGAACGGGAAGAAUAAGUAGGGGUUAAUACCACUAUGAUGACGGUACCGUUUGUAAGCUCCGGCUAACUCCGU
rnacentral:rRNA from 1 species